GCCUGGUGUGGUGGCGCACCCCUGUAAUCCCAGUGGCUUGGGAGGCUGAGGCAGGAGGACCGCAAGUUCAAAGCUAGCCUCUGCAAAAAAGCAAGGUGCUGAGCAACUCAGUGAGACCCUGUCUCUA
rnacentral:sRNA from 1 species